rnacentral:rRNA from 1 species
GUUCUAUGGAUAUUAAUUUUAGAUCAGUCCUGCUCUAUGAUUUAUUAAAUGGCUGCAGUAUUUUAACUGUACUAAGGUAGCAUAAUAAUUUGUCUUUUAAUUGAAGGCUAGAAUGAAUGGUUUCAUGAAAAAUUAACUUUUUUAUUUUAAUAUUUUGAAUUUAAUUUUUUAGUUAAAAAGCUAAAAUUUUUAUAUAGGACGAGAAGACCCUAUAGAAUUUUAUUUUUUAUUUAAUUCUAUUAUUUUUGAUUAUUUUAUAUUAUUUUUUUAAUAAAAAAUUUUGUUGGGGUGAUUUAAAAAUUUUUUUAACUUUUUAUUCUUUUUUCAUUAAUUUAUGUAUUUUUGUUCCUAUUAUUUAGAUUAUAAGAUUAAAUUACCUUAGGGAUAACAGCGUUAUUUUUUCGGAUAGUUCGUAUUGAUGAAGAAGUUUGCGA